AUUGAACGCUGGCGGCAUGCCUUACACAUGCAAGUCGAACGGUAACAGGUCUUCGGAUGCUGACGGGUGGCGAACGGGUGAGUAAUACAUCGGAACGUGCCCAGACGUGGGGGAUAACGAGGCGAAAGCUUUGCUAAUACCGCAUACGAUCUAAGGAUGAAAGCAGGGGACCGCAAGGCCUUGCGCGUUUGGAGCGGCCGAUGGCAGAUUAGGUAGUUGGUGGGAUAAAAGCUUACCAAGCCGACGAUCUGUAGCUGGUCUGAGAGGACGACCAGCCACACUGGGACUGAGACACGGCCCAGACUCCGACGGGAGGCAGCAGUGGGGAAUUUUGGACAAUGGGCGAAAGGCUGAUCCAGCAAUGCCGCGUGAAGGAUGACGGCCUUCGGGUUGUAAAAUGCUUUUGUACGGAACGAAAAGGAUCUGGCUAAUACCUGGGGCACAUGACGGUACCGGAAGAAUAAGCACCGGCUAACUACGUG
rnacentral:rRNA from 1 species